AACAGUGUGGUGUAGUGGUUUGAGCACUGGACUACAACUCUGGAGACCAGGGUUUGAUUCCCCACAGGGUGA